UCAUUUCUCAUCAUUAAUAUCUUCCUAAGUCUGAAGCCCUGCGUGGGGAUGUAGGUGUCAAGGCAAGUGUGGCCAUGGGAUGAGCAGCUGAUCAUUGAUCAGAUCACCAAAGUGCAGACAUGCUUUGUAUCCUGCAAAAAGUGAAGUUUAACUAGCUGAACGCAAGCACAACGACCCCAACUGUGUGACUGCCUGUCCCACCUGGCUUCCUUCCAUGGCCCACCUUGCCACUGGGCUCUUACUUAAAGGCAGUUUGCACUUGGUUGCAAAAUUGAUUAUUACGAAAGUCUAAUGUCUGGGGGCUGCUUCUUGAGCCAGAAAAGGUCAAUAAACAGAAGUGUCAGCAUCCCACUGAUGGGCAAAGAAUCUUCGUCCUAGGGCUGGGACAGGGCAUAUGACUUUAAUGAUACAGAAACCUGGCAGCUAAAAAGUUAUCUAUGAGACAAAACAAAAACAAUGAGUUUGGAAGAGGAUGGUUUACAACUGAAAAAAAGAAAAUGUUAGUUUUCAUUCUGCUCCAUUCAGAAUGGAAAUACUGUUCCGUGGAGCAUAUUACAGUUAUGACUAUUAUUGUAUUGCUUCACUUAGGAGGCAUGUGGAAAUAAUUUUUGCUUAUAUUCAGUGUUUACACCAGCAAGAAACAAUACAGGUUGUGUUCUCUCCUUGCAAAACUGUGAGUAGUGGCAAGUGGAGAAGGAACAAGAAGAAACUUCUUACAAAUGGCAGUUAGCAAGAGGAGGAGAUGGUGUAGCAGAACAAUUCAGGAUUUUUAUUUGAGUAGCUAACUUUAAAUGUGAAAGCCGCAAGUAACUUUUUAAAACAAAUGUUUGUUAAUUUUAUUAAUUUUCUUAAUAGAGGUUUUGCUGUGUUUGCCCUUUCUCAACCAUCUGUUGUAGUUGCUGAGUACCCCUUGGCUACACUGCAGCCUGCCAAGAUGUGCUGAUGCGACAGGCUCCUGAAGGGGGUGAGGAGAGCAUGGCCACUGAUGUCCCAACGUGGGACUCAAAGCCCCCACUCCUGUGCCCACUUGCAGUGGGGUUUGCUCUGCACGGCUGUGAGAUCUCUCUGCAGACCUUUGUGACUUGGGCGGAGGACCCUGCAUAUGGUCAGGUCCUCUCACAGCACCUUAACCUGCUGUGCCUUGCCCUUGCUGCACCCGUCUCCCUGCUCCAAUCCUUCCCUUGUUACUCCAUUAAAAAGUGUUGGUGUUUCAGAUGAAAUGGAUUUCAAAGGGAUAUUUGACAGAGGAAAGUACCUAACCUGGAGAAGUGAGGAGAACUGAUUGGAUGAAGGAGGCACUGACAGCAUUAAGGAGCUAUUGACCUGUCUGAUGCUGCUCCUGAAGGGCUUGAAAACGUGAAUGCGGCGAUGCCCUGUGUCCACCCGACCCUACCUUGGGACAGCCGCUACCCCAUGUCCACAGCAACAGCCCAAAGGACGGACAGAGAGGAGGAGUGGAACACUGGAUUGUGUUGAGAGGUUACAGCCUGUGUCAGGGCCAGGGAGGGCUCUGAAGGGAUGGAGGAUGUGUGUGGAUGCGCAUGGGACAGUGUUUGUCCAGGCAGAGACCACAACCCCAGCAGAAGGAUGAGGUGUGUGGGCUCAACAGAACAACGCCAGGCUGUGAGCAUGGGAGUUCGAUCUGGUGGCUGGGAACCCAUCACAGCCUGGAUGUGAGGAGUCAAGCAUAUCGCUGUGGCACCAGCAAAGAGACCCCGAUGUAUUCAACCCGCUGGUCAUGCUGGUGCCACUGGGUUUCCCAGGGAUUCCCAGUUCACGGAUCUGUGGGGAACGCUGAGCCUGGGGCAGGACUGCCAACGAGGCCAUGGCGCUGGAAGAGCUACGUGGGGACUGGUGCUCACUUGAGGUCACCGCUCAUUUUCCAUCACUGGAAUUCAAGAGACUUUGUGUCAUGUUGUGAAUACAACAUGCUUGACAGCAUACCUGCCGGGGAAAAUAUCUUCUGUGAUGGAGCCAGCCUUAUCCGAAAGCAGUCAUUUCCAGUGGGCAGUGGAGCUGGGAAGGGGAUGGGGCAGCCCUCACUGGAGCUGCUGCUGGACAGCCUCAACAGGGACAGACAGCUCAAAGGAGACUGUGGUCUUUGCACCAAGGAGCAGCCGUAGACUCUAGAUCUGCUGCUGGGACCGAGUGAGGACCACCACUGGGUCCACUCUGGAGCGGUGUCCAGGGGCCUUUGGCUGGAAAUGCUGGGGGAGCCUGCAGCAGGCAGUGGCCCAGCAGGUACAGAGCCCUUUCCUGGAGCUGCCCACGGCACGGCUGGAAAUCAGCUCCAAGUGCCACAUCCAUCAUGCCCAAAUUGUUCAGCAACCUCCAGGACAGCAUGAGCAGCAAGUAGCAUCUGUUCCUCCCUGCCAGAGCCACGAUGAUGGACUGCCAAGAAUGGAGCUCCCUCCUAACUUCUUGCUGUCUGGAAGCCAAGAACUUCAAGCUGAUCAAAGAAACAAACACUUUUAAUGAAACAUAUGCAAGAUACUUAGAAGGAGAAGAUUCACAAUGCAUCUGCUGCGGGACCAGAAGGCUUAUCAAAAGUGUGAAGUAGGAGGAGAAAAAUUACGAGUGUAUGAUGCCAGAGAAGAUUACAGAAAUAUUAAGCAGAAGGAAUGUAAACACGUAUAGCUGGUGAUGGCUGGUGCGUGGCUCGCCGCGCACAAAGAGCCUCUGCAGUGUCGGUCUGAGGAUGCUCUCGCCGUUGUGUGCAAGCAGUCCACCGCAGUCCAGCCAGGCACCCCUGCAGCAAACCAUGCACCUGCAUGCCCAGCCCUCGCCCUGGUUGGGCGCCAGGCCCUGGGGAUCAGGCAGGGCUGGCCAUGGCUGUGACCACAUCUCAGAGCACAGCCCCCCUCCCCCGGAGCCCCUCUCUUGCUGUCUGGCUCCAACUCGAUGCCGAGACAUCGGCAGAGUGCCCACCGUGCCAUCCAGUUCAACUGUCUUUAGAGCCGAUGAACAUUGCAGUGGCAAUUUAUUUGCAUUUUCUUUAUGAAACAAAAACUUAAAUGUAAUAUCCAUUUUCUUGCAAUGUGUUUUAUUGAAAACAUAAAUACUGUGAAAAACUGUAAUUUCUGGUGAUAAUACAGUAGUUUACUAUCAGUGGGAAUAUCACAUCAUUAUUUCUGUUCCGCAUUCAGGAGUGUGCAGACAUAUGGCUUAUCUAUUUCAGCCACUGGCCAAAUUCUGCUCUCUCUUAACCCUUGCACCCUCGGUGAAUUCAGCGAGGCUGCACAGUGAUAGCUAGCAGCAGGAUCUAGAGCUCUUAUUUCUUGUUAAAUGAAAAUUUUUCAUUUUCAAAGCUGCUUUCCUGUCCCCCCACACACUGACUGCAGUUCUUGCUGUGUGUUACAGUUUUGCUUCUCCCUCCACAGUGCUGGCAGUUGUCUGCAAUGGCCUUUCUCCUCCGAUCAGUGCCACCACCACCUCUGCUAUGAGGCAGCACUGGGGGGUCCUAGGAGGGGUGUCUGCCCUCUCCUCGGGCUGCAGGUGCUUUUUCAGGGGGAGCCCAGCAGGGGCAGGGCGCAGUGCCCACCGGGUGUGGGAAGAUGACUGCUCGGAGCUCUGCUCCACUGUGGGGAUGGCCAGCAGCAUUUCUAGGGGCUGAGCCACGGAGGCUCAAACAGCAGGAGAACAGUUACAAAUAGAUCUCCUCUCCAAAGGGCAGUUCAGCAGCCUCUGGAGUUUUAAGCCAGUCUUGUGGCUUCUGGAGAAAAAAAACAUUUUGCAGCUUAAGUGCAUCUCUGAGGAAGAAACACGUUUGCUGUGCUGGCCAGAGGGUGCUGUGGGCACCAUCCUGGGUCCCUCUCCUUCCACUUGCUCCCUGGUGAUGGCAGCUGGGGCUGCUCAUAGCAUUGCUGCUCUUUGCAAGAGCACGGGGAGACCCUGUAAAGGGCUGGGCCAGCAGUGCAUUCAGUUUAGUAACCUGCCUCUGACAAUGGCUGACGCUGCUACAGCGUGAGAGGUGGGCGAGCAGGCGGCGGUGCUCCCCCCAGGGCUGCCCACAUCCAGCAGCCAAGACCUGGGGCUUCCUGAGACUGAGGGGAUGGCUGUGUGCUGUGAUGCUCUGCCUUGCUCUGCCCUGUGUCCUUUCCAGUGUCCUAUGCCAGUGCCUGGCCCUCCUGGCACCGGGGCUGAAGGGGUCUCGUUCCCCACUGUGGACCGUGCUUGCAAGCUACAGCCCCUCUGGGUGAGGGAGCUGCUCCAGGAUGGCUGAGCCAGCGCUGACUGGCAUUGAUGUGGCCUCGCAGCCUUGUACGGUGAUUUGUCGAUCCUAAAACUGCUGCGGACCCCCCAGCGCAGGUCAGCCCUGCUUCCUGGCAUCUUCUUCCAGGGGCAGUUGUGCCUGGGGCUGCUGGAGGGCUGGCGCGGCUCCCCAUGUAUGCGGGUCCUGCCCCACACAGCUGAACUGCAACGUGGGGCUGCUCGCACUUCACUGAUAAUAAUCCUCUCUAUCAAACAGUAACUCAAUUUAGUCUUUUCUCUUUAAUAUUUAUGUGCUGACCUAGCAGUCUGAUGAAUCUCGUAGGCAGCAUUCUAUCUGGGUACUAGCAAAUGAUCAACCAUCACAGUCAGUCAGGACCGACUCCUGUCUCUGUUGCUGUUGUUUCCCAUCACUUUUCCUAACACCAUCUCAGGAAAAUGCAUGGUUUUCCCCCACCCAGGAAGGCUGAUGCUCCAGUUUCCCGCUUGGUAUCACCCUGCAGGUGGGUCAGGGGUGAGUCAAGGGGACGUGGCAGGUCCCGGCUGCCAGGUCAGUUUUGCCUGAGGUUCCCAGCCGCAAAGGAUCCACCAGCACGUGUCAAGGUGGCCAGGAGGCAGGUUUAAUGUUUGCUCCUGACCUUUCCGAUCACUCUGCAUCUGCGAGGCUGCCUGGGCACCCUGGAGGGAUGGGUGCCCUCGAUUUGCCCUGUUUGGGAGAUGAAGCCCCUGCUGCUGCUUGUCUCCUGCAUCUCCUGGACUAGAGAAGGGAAGGAAGAAGCAGCAGCCUCUGCCACACACAGCAGGGCAGGCAGCAUGGCCACUGUCACCUCCUUCAAAACAUCUGGCAGGUGUCCAAAGGAAUGAAAUGGAAUGGAACAGAAUGGAAUGAAAUGGAAUAAAUAGACUCUUUCGGCUGGAAGGGACCCACAACGGUGGUCUAGCCCAACUGCCUGGCCCCUCCAGGGCUGACCAAAAGUUAAAGCACUCUGUCAAGGGCAUUGUCCAAAUAUCUCUUAAACGCUGACAGGUGUGGGGCAUGGACCACCUCUCCGGGAAGCCUGUCCCAGGGUUCGAGCACCCUCUUGUUAAAGAAAUGCUUCUUCACGUCCAAUCUGGGAGGUUCAGGUUUUCAAGGAAGGUUGCCACCCUGCUGUCCACGGGCCAGCAGUGGUCUGAGGAGCAGAAGCUGGGGACAUGCUGGGGGCAGGCGGGCAGGUGCCCCCAGUUCCCAGCUGUUAGAUAUGACUGGCAGGAGCCAGGCCGCCGUCCAGCAUGGCUUGGCUAGUGCAGACCCCAGUCCUGUUGCCACGGUGGCAAGACUGCACUUUCCCGUGCCCAUGCGAGUGGGAUGACUGGUAAGGCAAGCUAGAUCACACCCCACUUGACCACAAGUAUUUCACAGGGGUUCUUACCUGCUAUUUCCAAGCAGUUAUUCUGGUUUUGCUACACGAUUACUGAAGGAGCACUUCCAAACUCCAUGUUCAGGUAGAGAGCAGUGUCUGCUUUGGAAUAGCUCAAGUAUUCCUUAUAAAUGCACUUUUUAUUGUGGUUUAUAACUAGCUGUCAUGGUGACAUGCAAAGCUGAAGUAUUAUGUACCUCUCAGCACAGUGUUGCUUGUUGGAGAAGGAGCCCUAGCAAAGUCAGAUUUCUUUGCAGUUUUAAAGAUUUGUAAAAGCAAGCUGGAAACAAAAAUAAAUUAAGGCAUGCAAAUAAAAUUCUUUCCAAAACAUCCAUGCUCAAGUGUUUUUGUUUUUUUUUAAAGCAUCUGGCAAGCCUUUCUUCAAAUUUAUUUUAGCUAAAUGCA